rnacentral:rRNA from 1 species
AGAGUUUGAUCAUGGCUCAGAAUCAACGCUGGCGGCGCGCCUAACACAUGCAAGUCGAACGAGAAAGUGGAGCAAUCCAUGAGUACAGUGGCGUACGGGUGAGUAACACGUGGGUAAUCUACCUCUUAGUGGGGAAUAACUCUGGGAAACCGGAGCUAAUACCGCAUAAGCUCGAGAGAGGAAAGCAGCAAUGCGCUGAGAGAGGAGCCCGCGGCCGAUUAGCUAGUUGGCAGGGUAAGAGCCUACCAAGGCAAAGAUCGGUAGCCGGCCUGAGAGGGCACACGGCCACACUGGCACUGAAACACGGGCCAGACUCCUACGGGAGGCAGCAGUGGGGAAUCUUGCACAAUGGGGGAAACCCUGAUGCAGCGACGCCGCGUGAGCGAUGAAGCCCUUCGGGGUGUAAAGCUCUUUCGGCAGGGAAGAUGGUGACGGUACCUGCAGAAGCAGCUGCGGCUAACUACGUGCCAGCAGCCGCGGUAAUACGUAGGCAGCGAGCGUUGUUCGGAGUUACUGGGCGUAAAGGGUGUGUAGGCGGUUGUUUAAGUUUGGUGUGAAAUCUCCCGGCUCAACUGGGAGGGUGCGCCGAAUACUGAGCGACUAGAGUGCGGGAGAGGAAAGUGGAAUUCCUGGUGUAGCGGUGAAAUGCGUAGAUAUCAGGAGGAACACCGGUGGUGUAGACGGCUUUCUGGACCGUAACUGACGCUGAAACACGAAAGCGUGGGUAGCAAACAGGAUUAGAUACCCUAGUAGUCC